GAAGAUAACCUUUCAAAUGAAUUUUGUAUUAACAUGUUGCUGCAUACAUAUAUAAUCUUACAACUUUAUGGAAAAUCACACUAAAAAUGAACAGAAUCUUGGAUUUUCUAAAACUAGAAAAUCUCAAUAAUACAAAAAAAUCUAAUGUCCUUAAAUAUUACAUUUACUCCUAAUGGUUAUAAAUUCAAUCAAGGCAUGUCAAAUACCAAAAAGCUAUCCGCGAAAAGGAUUGAAGCAUUUUCUUUUAUAGAAUACUAAUUACAAACUUCAAUUUAUUUUCAACAUGCAUUUGGGUUACUCCAUUCACUACAACUAACAUUAAUUGAUGACAAAAAUAAGAAGCAUCAGCCAUAUUCUCAAUCAAUUUUGAAGAUCCAUUUUCAUAUUUUACUCAACUCAUCAACAAAGCAAACAAAAACUAACAUGCACUAAAAGUUCUUCAUACAUACCUCAUCUGUGGCUUGGAAAAAGUAAGGUAUUAACUGGUAGCCCAUGAAACUCACUGGUCGGUACUCUCUGACCUCGCGGCCUUAAAUCGUUCAUCGCCCGUAUUGGAGUCCUCAACUUCACCGUCAUGGUCCUCAAUUUAUGGGCAAAGUGCUUGAUGAAAGUAUAAGAGAGAAAUUGAAAUAGAUUUUAAGCUUGGUUGCUUCGGCUUUGGCAGAGGAAAGAGAUGAUAACUUUUCAUUUUGUAUUAAUAUUUGUUGAGUAAAAGCAUGUUUACAAGGUAUAAAAGCAUGUUUCAAUUUAUUACCC
rnacentral:lncRNA from 1 species